GUGUAGGUGAGGAGGACAAAUUUUUGGAUGCUCUUUACUGUUACAAAGCUCAUAAAGGAAUUCAUAAAAUAGUAUAUGGUUGAUCCUUCUACAGGCUACAAGUCAAUUCAGCCACCGAAGUUGCAUUAAAAUCUUAGAAUGGUGGCUGUGAUGGAUUAUUUUUUUUACAAUUCUAUUGGUUUAUACACAACUUCUAUUAUACUUUUCAGUCAAUAUUUUCACUGAAAGGUUUCUGCUACAUGGGCACAGAUGAUACAAGUCAUGAGCUAAUUGAUGUUGCACUUCUAUUAAUUGCUGCUCUUCCGAGUGUCUUAUUUGCUUUUAAUGCACUCAUUUGAUUUCUUCCACUCUUCCUUUUCUAGCUUUCUAUGAUUUUCCUCUAUUGCUGAUAGUUAUUCUGAGGAAUAUUCAGUGUCAUUAUGAUUUCAUUUUUUACUUUCCUUUCGUUGGCCAUUAGGUGAAAUAGAGGUGUUGAGGUUUUAACUUCUCAUCUUCUAUACUCUAUAAAAAAUCUCUAUUUUUUACCUUGACUUCCCAUGUACAUAUGUUAUGUGCUUGGGUACUUACUCCAUGCACUAGGGUUGUGUUUGGGAAAACAACUUAAUUAAGCAUAUAUGGCCAUAAGCGCUUAUUCAUAAGCUAUUUUAACAAAUUUAUUGAAAUUAGUUGAAAAUAGCUUAUAAAUAAGCAUAAACUUAAUUCUUCCAUAAACUAUUUUGAGCAAUUUAUGAAAAUAAGCUCUGACACACAUUUCUUUCAUUUGUGUUUUGUAUUGACGGAGGGGAGGGAUAAGUGUUGAUUAUUGAAGGUUGAAGCUGGUGCAUCAGGGACUAAAUUUGCCCUUUAGCAUUGGUGGUGUCUACAGAAUUGAACAGCUCUUGGCUAUAUAUGGUUUGGUGUCGUUAAAUUUAAUUCUGAUUGUAGGUGGGUUGCAGGCUUUCCUCCUAGCAGGGCUUUUUCUUGGGAGAAUUUUCAAUUAAGCAAGUUUUAAGUUCUUCAUGAAGGCUUAAUCUAUUCUGUGGGAGGCUUUUCUCCAAUUAUAUUUAAGUUUACUGCACUGCAAGGAAGGCUACUGGCUGAUUGUUUUCUUGAUCCUUAGCCCUUUUGCUUUAUGUUUUCCUUAUGGUUGCUUUUCCCUCAAAGAUGUUAUUGUUGGUUCUGACUCUUAUUACAAUGCAAUAAUUGUGGUCUUUUUGGCUGGUUGUACUUGUGGGAUCUAUAUGUAUCACUGCUAUGAAUGCUAUCUGUCUUGCUGUGGGAUGAACAGAGAAGUUGGAUGUGGUUGGAACUAGAUAUAUGGUUUGGCCCCUGGACUUGGCAUAUUCUUUAUGUAUCAUGUAGGCUUUGAUUAAUAUCAGUUGUUACUGCAGGGCUUGGAGGAGUUUUCCAUUUAAUAGUUGGGCAAGAGUUAUUAAUGUUAGAUAGAGUACUGAUUUUCAGUACAUUUUAGCAGUUUUACUAACAACUAAUCCAAUUUCAGAAUCCGAAAUACUUUUUGACUAAUAAUGUUUGUGUAGCAUAUGUGAUCUGAUAGAAAUAAAUCUGAUUUUUAAUUGGUCUAUAGCUCCUUCAAUGUUAUUCAUGUAAUUUGGUUCAUAUAUUAUUUUAGUGGAGGACAUGUAUAUGUUAGGUCACAGUAACUUCUAUCAUGGUAACUUCUAUUUGAAAAAUGAGGAAGUUGUUCUGGUGUGAUCUCUAUAUUAGUUUGCAGUUUAAUUCAGUCUCCAAGUUAUACUGUAUAUAUUUUUUUAAACUUCCAUAUUUAACAUAUGGCAUAUUGUAACCAUGUCUUAUUAGUGUGCAGUUACCAUAUAUCCCCUGUCGUUAAGAGGUCCUCACUCCAAUCCUCAGAUUUUUGCAACCAGUUUCAUGUGGGAGAGUUAUCUUAACCUUUGUGCAAUAUUCAACUCUAUGGCUGUGGCAAGACGUUUCUUACAGCGUUUUGGUGAAGAACUCGAUGAGUUUGUUGAAUUACAAGAUCCUGUAGGGAACAGAUUCACUGUGAGUUUUUAUUACAAUGAUGGUGAAGCAAGAUUCGGUGUUGCGGGCAGUCCACCAAAGUCAGGAAACUAUGAUGAUUCAGUUUGUUUUUCAAGGUGAACCUAAGUUUAGCAUCAGAAUUUAUGAUGUGCAGCUCAAUGAGAUUCACUACAGGAUGAACACUGGUCAUCCUGUUCGUACCGCUGCAGGUCCAAGCCGUGCCAAUAAUGAUAUAUUUUCUGAGGAUGAAGGCAAUGAUAUGACUAUUGAUUUAGUUAGUGAAGAUGAAGAAGAUGAUGAUGAAGUCGAAGAGCUGCGUUGUGAGCAGUUGAUUUGGAAUGUUGAUCUCAUUGCUGAUCUCAUCAAUGCUCCCGAACCCCUGCUUUGUUCUGUGUUUUUCUUAACUAUGAUAGGGUUUAAUUGUUAGUAUUAACUUAAUUUCUUUACUUACGGUGUGAAAUUAUUUCGGACCCUUGCCUCAUGAAAUAAAUGUUCUACUUCCAAAUGGAUCUUGGACCAAAUGAGAAAUUCUUUGAUACUCCAUUGGUGAGAUAUGAGGCGAAAGACAUACCAAUUUUGGCCUAAAGGGUGAGGUUUGUUGCUGGCGAUUUGACUUCUAUAAGGCUACAUUUAGGAGGCUUGGAGAUACUGAUGCAGGACAUAUGAUGCAGUUACGGAGAAUGGUCCAGCUAAAUAGAUACAGGGUUCAUGUAUACACCCUGUAAUCUAUCUUGAAGAAGUUGUAACUUUGUUCCAUCUCUUUUGAUUAUGUUACUUAUACUUUCCCUGAAUUGUGGUACUUUGUGUGUUUACAUGUUUGCUUGAAUGUAUUUAAUGGUAAAACUAUCCAAGGUUGAUUAUGCAUGUGGAACUUGGAUUUGUUGUGA